AUUGAACGCUGGCGGCAGGCCUAACACAUGCAAGUCGAACGGUAACAGGAAGCAGCUUGCUGCUUUGCUGACGAGUGGCGGACGGGUGAGUAAUGUCUGGGAAACUGCCCGAUGGAGGGGGAUAACUACUGGAAACGGUAGCUAAUACCGCAUAACGUCGCAAGACCAAAGAGGGGGACCUUAGGGCCUCUUGCCAUCGGAUGUGCCCAGAUGGGAUUAGCUAGUAGGUGGGGUAACGGCUUACCUAGGCGACGAUCCCUAGCUGGUCUGAGAGGAUGACCAGCCACACUGGAACUGAGACACGGUCCAGCCUCCUACGUGAGGCAGCAGUGGGGAAUAUUGCGCAAUGGGCGGAGGCCUGAUGCAGCCAUGCCGCGUGUAUGAAGAAGGCCUUCGGGUUGUAAAGUACUUUCAGCGGGGAGGAAGGGAGUAAAGUUAAUACCUUUGCUCAUUGACGUUACCCGCAGAAGAAGCACCGGCUAACUCCGU
rnacentral:rRNA from 1 species